UACGUAGGUGGCAAGCGUUGUCCGGAUUUAUUGGGUUUAAAGGGUGCGUAGGUGGUCUAUUAAGUCAGUGCUGAAAUAUCCCGGCUUAACCGGGAGGGUGGCAUUGAUACUGAUGGACUUGAGUGGAGUCGAGGUAGGCGGAAUUGACGGUGUAGCGGUGAAAUGCUUAGAUAUCGUCAAGAACACCGAUAGUUCAGACAGCUUACUAGGCUUUAACUGACACUGAGGCACGAAAGUGUGGGGAUCAAACAGG
rnacentral:rRNA from 1 species